rnacentral:tRNA from 1 species
GGGCGAGUGGCGGAAUUGGCAUACGCGCAUGGCUUAGGACCAUGUGGGUUUUCCCGUGAGAGUUCGAGUCUCUCCUCGCCCA